AUCGCAGGUCCUGCAGCCCCAGGAGGUGAGAUCUGCAGGUAGCUAAAAUUUUCUUUUGAAAGACGAUGGUCCUUUCCAUCAAGGAUCCACCAAGGAUGGCGAAGGAUAGAGACCACAUAGCUGCAUGGAUAUUAGACCUCACCCUGGAGAUCAUCUCCUUGAUAACUGGAGAGGAUUACACAGUAGUGAAGAAGUCGUCUGGUGAGUGUGUGACACCCCGUGUGUCAGGAGGAU